AGCUCCAAUAGCAUAUAUUAAAGUUGCUGCGGUUAAAAAGCUCGUAGUUGAGUCUCUAGCAAGGUCGACUGAUCCAUCUUCAGGGUGCGAAUUUAGCUCGGCUCAGCUUCUUUCUGGCAAGGCCUCUCUGCACAUCGGUCUGCAGAUAGCUGCGCCGGCUUUUACUUUGAGAAAAAUAAAGUUCUUCAAGCAGGCGUACGUCAUGGAUAUGUGAGCAUGGAAUAAUCAUAUAUGCCUCGGCUCAGAUUUUGUUGGUUUCCAUUGCUGAGGUAAAGGGUUGUAGGGCCAGAUGGGGGCACUCGCAUUUAACUGUCAGAGGUGAAAUUCUUGGAUUUGUUAAAGACGGCCCAGUGCGAAAGCAUUUGCCAAGAAUGUUCUCGUUG
rnacentral:rRNA from 1 species